rnacentral:rRNA from 1 species
AUUGAACGCUGGCGGCAGGCUUAACACAUGCAAGUCGAGCGAGCGGCGGACGGGUGAGUAAUGUCUGGGAAACUGCCUGAUGGAGGGGGAUAACUACUGGAAACGGUAGCUAAUACCGCAUACCCUCAGAUGUGCCCAGAUGGGAUUAGCUAGUAGGUGGGGUAAUGGCUCACCUAGGCGACGAUCCCUAGCUGGUCUGAGAGGAUGACCAGCAAAACUGGAACUGGGACACGGUCCAGACUCCUACGGGAGGCAGCAGUGGGGAAUAUUGCACAAUGGGGGCAAGCCUGAUGCAGCCAUGCCGCGUGGGUGAAGAAGGCCUUCGGGUUGUAAAGUACUUUCAGCGAGGAGGCGUUACCCGCAGAAGAAGCAACGGCUAACUCCGUGCCAGCAGCCGCGGUAAUUC